AAUUUAGAUUUUGUGUGCGAAUGUCCUGGGACAAACUAAUCCACCUUUUUGUGCAGUGAGGUCCUUAUUUGCAAAACAUGAUGAUUUGGGUCAGGUUUGCCAAUCAGCACUUUCUUUUCUCCAGCCAGGGAAAUUAUAGAGAUAAAUUAGAUAAAACAUGAAUGUUCUUGGAUUCUGUAGAAAUAUAUGACAUGCAAAUUACACAGGUUGCAAAUAAUGUGCUGUGAUUGAAUAAAUCAAGUGUUAUUCCACCGACAUCAGAGUUCAGGAACUUCCAACUGUGUAUUUCCUCGAGUCUUUCUACUGUGAAAACAUUUUGUGAUGCAUAUCCUUUGGCAAAAAUAUGCUUGCAGUCGCAAUCAUGGUCACCUAACGAUUUGAUCAAUAAUCAACUAGUGUGAAGAUGAUGUGAGUAACUUAUUACAGGGCAAUGAAGCAUGCUUAGAAUUUAUUGCCUUAUGUCCCCGCAAAUGUGAAAUACGGGCAAGCUCAUUCUGUAACACCUUGAAAUCAUUUCAGAGGUAAUAGAUUAGUCAGCUUCACUUAGCAAGCAAGCUGUGUUGAUCAUUUGUCAUUUGUAGGUGGACUUUUUCUUCCCUUUUCCUCAUUGUCUCAAGAAUGAGGGUGAUUUAAGGAGAGUCUGGCUUCUGGAUGCAUUUUCACCCUCACAGACCUUGUCCAAAAACUGGGAUCUAGAAGACUUUGUGCAAAGCAAUCAGAUUUCAUUUGCUACAGAUGGUAUUUUGGCCAUCCUGGCAAAAGGCUGGCUUUCCUAUCUGAGUGCUAAAUCGAUAUUCCAAUCUGGUCUUUUGGGAAAAUUGGC
rnacentral:lncRNA from 1 species